CUCCGACUUGGGUGGUUCAAAAAUCAAGAAUUCCUUAUCUUUUCUUUCAGUACUACGAAAGUGAUGAUCUUCUGCAACACAGCAUAAGCAAAGACGACCACGUCGUAUCAGAAAGUAGUACUGCAACAUGUGACUCUGUGAGUUUAUGCUUGUUGGCAUGGAUGUGGUGGGCCUGCUCUGAUUUGGAUUCGAUUUGAGAAGAACCGAAUCAGCAUCAUUAAUAUCUCUUGUAGGGAGUAAUUCCUCCACGAACACAUCUUCAACUUCAUCUUCAGAUUCCGAACCUCGGGAAGAUUCAUGAACAGAGAGCGUUUCACUUGGGGUUACGAAUUCUUCAGAAAGAGUGUUAGACCUCUGAGAUUGGCUACUUAAUGACACUACUGCUUCACCGCCAUGAAUGAUGUCAGCCACAAGAUGAUCAUCUUUCUCAGUGCAUUCAGCAUGAUGAACAUACCUUUCUUCUUCUUCUUCUUCCUCGGAGAGAAAGUGAUACUCGUAUCCAUUUUCGUUUCUGCAACACAAAAGAAUCGCUAAAGAAAAAACAAGCAAGGAUAUACAUACUGUGAGAAAUGAAAAGGGAUAUAUUUAUAUAGAGAGAGGGAGAGAGGAAGAGAGAGAUGUUGUUAAGUACAGACCUCUGAAUUAAUGUAUUGCUGCCAAGAAAAUGGAAGAGCUUGAGGAGCAGAAGGGUGGAGCAGUAGAGGAAGAGGAAAAGAAGGUGGAAGAAGCUUGAGACAUUGUAGAACAGCCUAACAAGAGCUUCCUCCUUUGAACAUGGCAUUUUCUUCCUUCCAAAUUUGUGUUCCAAAGCACUGAUCUUACACAAAGCAAAAGCAGACUCAGAAAGCCGAGAAAAUAAAUAAAUAAAUAACAAGGCAGAGAGACUCCCAGGGCCAGAAAAAAGUGUGCUCAUCUUUGCCUUUAGACGACGUUGCUGCCUUUCAUAUCGUCAUGACUCAUGAUCUCUUCCUUGUCGGUCAAAUCUUAUGUAAAGCACAAUGUCAAAUACCUCCCUACAAUGUUGUCCAUCACCUUAAUCAUGUUUGAAACGUUAUGUCCUCGAACAAGGGUAAAUGUGUCAUUUAAUUAACUGAACAGCUCUCAAAUAUGAAAUUCAGUUCUAAUCAUGUACAUAAUUAUUUGCUUGGCCAUGGGGUCAUGCAUACAUAUCAUAUAUAUAUAUAUAUAUAUAUAUGUAUUCUUAUUUUUAAUUCA